CCUCCCCCCUGCUCCUUACCUAAAUAGAUACACAGAUUCUACUAAACCAUACAGGAUUCAUGAUACUAAACUAAGGAAAUCAGUCUAGAAAAUACCAUUUUAAAAAAUAAUCAUUUAACUAAACUGGAAUAAAAAGAAGAUACCUGGAUAUACAGCUUGAUCCAGGUAUGAAGUGAUGCAGUUGAAAUAAAAAGAGAGCUGCUACAUUUGGACAAGUGAAUGGAUGUGUCCACAGCGUGCAUUGUAAGAUAGACCCUUAAGCAAGUACCACCUGACCUGAAUACAUGGGUCACAUCAAAGUGCGGCAGUGCACAUCUACCAAAUGGAGUCUGAAAGCAUCUCAGCUGGGUGUUUUAUCUUCAUAGAAUAAUAAGAUAGGUUUGAUGAGAUAUAGAAUAAUUUAGCUCAGAGUGGGGAACCCCCACUCAGGGCAAGACCUGCUUCAAAGCUAGAUAUAACUUUGAAGUUGCAUCAAGUUAUUCAGAGUUUUGGGUGAAUUUUACUUAGAGUGGUGUCAACCUAGGAACUUAAUCCUCACAGAGUAGCUGUACCCUCAGUCUUAUUGUCUCUGACCUAUCAGGCUAUCUUGUUCUCUGCCUCUUUCAAUUUAUAUGCUGUCUUUCCUCCCAGACUUUUCUUUUGUUGAGUGAGAGUGAAGGCAGACCAGCUCCUGUUCCUGUGAUCUGAGAAACAAUAUGGGAUAUUUUGUUUGAGAUAUGUUCAUUUUUGUAUUUUUCUCUCCUGUACAAACAACUUACUAGAAAACUAUUUUCUUUAUUUUCAGUAUCUUCAUUCACAAAGUCUCCACUGGGAAAUUCUGGAAACAAGAGGAUUUAGAUCUCUCUGCUGGCAUGAAAAGGCCUCUAAGUUAUGAUGCUCACAGAAUAAUGUACUUUUUGGAGUCAAGAUAUUUGCUGGCACCUAUCAGUAUUACUGCAGACACCCUGAGCAGCAUAAGAAAGCAAGAAGUUAAGCAGAGGUACUCCUUGGAAAUAUCAGUUUACUACUUCCUAUCCCAAGUUAUCUGUUCACUGACAUCUUUGGAAUAUCUGGGAAUAGAAUGA
rnacentral:lncRNA from 1 species